GACGUAGGGCGCGAGCGUUGUUCGGAUUUACUGGGCGUAAAGGGCGCGUAGGCGGCUUAACAAGUCACUUGUGAAAUCUCUUAGCUUAACUCAGAACGGCCAAGUGAAACUGUUAUGCUAGAGUGCAGAAGGGGCAAUCGGAAUUCUUGGUGUAGCGGUGAAAUGCGUAGAUAUCAAGAGGAACACCUGAGGUGAAGACGGGUUGCUGGGCUGACACUGACGCUGAGGCGCGAAAGCCAGGGGAGCAAACGGG
rnacentral:rRNA from 1 species